AGUUUGAGCACACUCUGGGAGACAGUGAAGAACAGGGAAGCCUGGUCCAGGAGACAGUGAAGGACAAGGAAGCCUGGUGUGCUGCAGUCCACGCGGUUGCAAAGAAUCGGACAGGACUGAGCGUCUAAACUACACAAUGGAAGCAAGGCAGAAGCCCACCCACCAUAUGUACACCGUCACCAACCAACGAGAUUAGCUGCCGCCAAGGAGGAUGGGGGUCCAUGGAAAGAAACUCCAGGGAGAUGACCAGAUGGGAAAAUGAGAGGGAGGAAAAAAAAAUACACGAAGACAGUCUGAACCAAAAGCUCAUGCAUUCCUGUCUUGGUCUUCAGCAAACUCUUCCAUCUACAAAUUCCCUCCUUCCUUUGGAAAAUCAAAACAUGUUUAACUAAAUACUUGAGAGUCCAGGAGCUGGAAGCUUUCCCUCCCACUGAAUCCUGUUCAACACCCUUUUCCUCUGUUAACCCAACGAGCAAGCCAAAUGUGCAGCCAAAGGCCCAAAGCUGGCCUGGGAGCCUGCGGAAGCGUGUGCAUCCUGCCGGAAGCAGCCAAACCUGGCAGGAAGUUGCAAUUACGGAGUGGGCAGGGCUUUUGCAGACUCCGAGCGGGGCUGGCCUGAAUAAACCCGGGCUUAUCAAAAGAAGGUGUAUGGCAGUGAAUCUGGUAAUUAAUAGGAUUGCAGGUUUCAAAGGAAAAGGGAGGAAGCCAGGCCAGCUUUGUGGCGCCCAGCACUUUCCCUAAAGGCACAGACAGAAACAGGAUAAGCAGCCUCAGGGCAGGUCCAGUGGGGCCCCUGCGGUGGGAUGGAGCAUGGCCAGCAGUGGGGUGGGCAGGCAGGCUCUCUCCUCCUUUGGGGAUGGUGGUGGUUUAGUCACUGAGUCGUGUCUGACUCUUUUAUGACCCCCUAGACUGUAGCCUGGAGAAGGCAAUGGCACCCCACUCCAGUACUCUUGCCU